GACGAACGCUGGCGGCGUGCCUAACACAUGCAAGUCGAACGGAAAGGUCCUGCUUUUGUGGGGUGCUCGAGUGGCGAAAGGGUGAGUAACACGUGAGUAACCUGCCCUUGACUUUGGGAUAACUUCAGGAAACUGGGGCUAAUACCGGAUAGGAGCUCCUGCUGCAUGGUGUGGGGUGGAAAGUUUCGGCGGUUGGGGAUGGACGCGCGGCUUAUCAGCUUGUUGGUGGGGUAGUGGCUUACCACGGCUUUGACGGGUAGCCGGCCGGGGAGGGUGACCGGCCACAUUGGGCCUGGGGUAGGGCCCAGACUCCUACGGGAGGCAGCAGUGGGGAAUAUUGCACAAUGGGCGGAAGCCUGAUGCAGCAACGCCGCGUGCGGGAUGCCGGCCUUCGGGUUGUAAACCGCUUUCGCCUGUGACGAAGCGUGAGUGACGGUAAUGGGUAAAGAAGCCCCGGCUAACUACGUG
rnacentral:rRNA from 1 species